AUUGAACGCUGGCGGCAGGCUUAACACAUGCAAGUCGAGCGGAGAUGAGGUGCUUGCACCUUAUCUUAGCGGCGGACGGGUGAGUAAUGCUUAGGAAUCUGCCCAUUAGUGGGGGACAACAUUCCGAAAGGAAUGCUAAUACCGCAUACGCCCUACGGGGGAAAGCAGGGGAUCUUCGGACCUUGCGCUAAUAGAUGAGCCUAAGUCGGAUUAGCUAGUUGGUGGGGUAAAGGCCUACCAAGGCGACGAUCUGUAGCGGGUCUGAGAGGAUGAUCCGCCACACUGGGACUGAGACACGGCCCAGACUCCUACGGGAGGCAGCAGUGGGGAAUAUUGGACAAUGGGGGGAACCCUGAUCCAGCCAUGCCGCGUGUGUGAAGAAGGCCUUAUGGUUGUAAAGCACUUUAAGCGAGGAGGAGGCUACUGAGACUAAUACUCUUGGAUAGUGGACGUUACUCGCAGAAUAAGCACCGGCUAACUCUGUGCCAGCCGCCGCAGUAACAC
rnacentral:rRNA from 1 species